GGCGUGUUCGUCCAGUGGUCAGGACGUCGGACUCUCAAUCCGGAAACACGGGUUCGAUCCCCGUACGCGCUAC
rnacentral:tRNA from 1 species